rnacentral:rRNA from 1 species
GGAGGCUAUGCGAGUGAGAAUGCAGGCAUGAGUAGCGAAAGAUGAGUGAGAAACUCAUCCGCCGGAUGAUCAAGGGUUCCAGGGUCAAGUUAAUCUGCCCUGGGUUAGUCGGGGCCUAAGGCGAGGCCGACAGGCGUAGUCGAUGGAUAACGGGUUGAUAUUCCCGUACCGGUGAAGAACCGCCCAUACUGAUAUUGUGAUGCUAACCAUGCGAAGCAUGAUGUGCAGGCUUUUGUUUGUGUGUUGUGUGGGUUGUGGGGCCCGAUCUUUGGAGGUAAACGUGUUAACAGGUGUGACGCAGGAAGGUAGCCAAGCCACGCGAUGGUUGUCGUGGUCUAAGCGUGUAGGGUUGUCGGUUGUUAAAUGCGCCGGCUGUGUGCCUGAGACGUGAUGGGACCCUGUUUUUGGGGGAUUUGGUGAUCCUAUGCUGCCGAGAAAAGCAUCGGCGUGAGGUUUUAGCCGCCCGUACCCUAAACCGACACAGGUGAUCAGGUAGAGAAUACUAAGGCGAUCGAGAGAAUCAUGGUUAAGGAACUCGGCAAAAUGCCCCCGUAACUUCGGGAGAAGGGGGACCUUGAGCGUGAUGGGCACUUGCUGCCUGGAGCGUGUAUGGGUCGCAGAGACCAGGGGGAAGCGACUGUUUAUCAAAAACACAGGUCCGUGCGAAGUCGUAAGACGAUGUAUACGGACUGACUCCUGCCCGGUGCUGGAAGGUUAAGAGGAUUGGUUAGCCUUUGUGGCGAAGCUGAGAAUUUAAGCCCCAGUAAACGGCGGUGGUAACUAUAACCAUCCUAAGGUAGCGAAAUUCCUUGUCGGGUAAGUUCCGACCUGCACGAAUGGAGUAACGACUUCCCUACUGUCUCAACCAUGAACUCGGCGAAAUUGCAGUACGAGUAAAGAUGCUCGUUUCGCGCAGCAGGACGGAAAGACCCCGUGACCUUUACUAUAGUUUGGUAUUGGUGUUUGGUUUGGCUUGUGUAGGAUAGGUGGGAGACUGUGAUGCAUGGACGCUAGUUUGUGUUGAGUCGUUGUUGAAAUACCACUCUGGUCAAUCUGGAUGUCUAACUUCGGGCCAUGAUCUGGUUCAGGGACAGUGCCUGAUGGGUAGUUUAACUGGGGCGGUUGCCUCCUAAAGUGUAACGGAGGCGCCCAAAGGUUCCCUCAGCCUGGUUGGCAAUCAGGUGUUGAGUGUAAGUGCACAAGGGAGCUUGACUGUGAGACUGGCAGGUCGAGCAGGGACGAAAGUCGGGACUAGUGAUCCGGCGGUACGUUGUGGAACGGCCGUCGCUCAACGGAUAAAAGGUACCCCGGGGAUAACAGGCUGAUCUUGCCCAAGAGUCCAUAUCGA